rnacentral:rRNA from 1 species
UGGGGAAUAUUGCACAAUGGGGGAAACCCUGAUGCAGCGACGCCGCGUGAACGAAGAAGGUAUUCGUAUCGUAAAGUUCUGUCCUAUGGGAAGAUAAUGACAGUACCAUAGAAGAAAGCUUCGGCUAAAUACGUGCCAGCAGCCGCGGUAAUACGUAUGGAGCGAGCGUUGUCCGGAAUUAUUGGGCGUAAAGGGUACGCAGGCGGUUUAAUAAGUCGAAUGUUAAAGAUCGGGGCUCAACCCCGCAAAGCAUUGGAAACUGAUAAACUUGAGUAGUGGAGAGGAAAGUGGAAUUCCUAGUGUAGUGGUGAAAUACGUAGAUAUUAGGAGGAAUACCAGUAGCGAAGGCGACGUUCUGGACACAAACUGACGCUGAGGUACGAAAGCGUGGGGAGCAAACAGG